GCAAGAGGCUUCCAGCCUCAGAGCUAAGCAUGGUGGGACAGGGGCUUAGCAUGGUGGAACAGGGGCUUCUAGCCUCAAAGCUUAGCAUGGUGGGACAGGGGCUUUCAGCCUCAGAGCUUAGCAUGGUGGGACAGGGGCUUCCAGCCUCAGAGCUUAGCAUGGUGGAACAGGGGCUUCUAGCCUCAAAGCUUAGCAUGGUGGGACAGGGGCUUCCAGCCUCGGAGCUUAGCAUGGUGGGACAGGGGCUUCUGGUCUCAGAGCUUAGCAUGGUGGGACAGUGGCUUCCAGUCUCAGGGAUUGGCAAGGAGGUACAGUGGCUUCUGGUCUCAGUGUUCACUCUGGAAUCCUUUCUAAUCCUCCUCUUCCCUUUGGCUGCCUCAAACAAAUCGAAAUGUACUCACUGACCACUGGGUCUUUGUCAUACAAGUAAAGUUUGGAGCCAAAAAACCAAAUGGUCACGAGUGAGCUUCUGUCCCCUUCAGUCCCUGUAACCUCCGACCUCCCUCUGUUACCCAUACAUGUCCCUGUACUUUGCUGUUAUCUGUCCUCUUGCCAUGGAAUGUUCAUCAGUGGAGUCCCUGCCAGUCUGAAGUGGACCCUGAAUUAUUCAUUGAGUAGGUGGAUUAUUCAUUGUGUGUGGGAGUCUGCUGAGUUCCACUGUAGUGGUGACAGGCAUGGAAAGGUGAAAUAAGUCUCAGAAACACUCCUGCAUGGUUUUCCAUCUUCCUCCUCCUCGCCCUGCCUCCUGCGUCCCCAGCAGCACUUGGUUUGAAUAGAGAGGUAACCGGUGCACCUGCGAGGCUCAGAGUGAGCGGAGCAAUGCUCAAUUAAGAGUUCUUCUGGACCUCUGAUGGAGGUAACAGUCACAAGUGGUGCGGUGGACUGACCUGGAGGCCCUGGAACUCACCUCUUCUCUGCCGCUAACAAACUCCGUGGCCUUCCUCAUUUCUCUGUGCUCCGAGUUUAAGAUUCCUUAUUGCAUGUCUGCUCCACUAAUAAGGAGGUAACCAAAUUAUAGAGCAUAUACAUCCUCAUCCCCCAGGUCAUGAGUCUGCAUGGCAGUACAAGAACAUAGGAUUUGCUGACUGUUUAGAAGAUCACUCACUUUGGUACGAUCCUGACCUUGUCUAAUAGAAGGGAAAGUGUCCAGGAAGAAAGUCUAUGUGACAUGGCCGGGCAAUCAGGUGGACAGCCACUUGCUUUCUCCUUGUGACAUGGCCAAGCAGUGAACACAGUUUGCUGCGCUGUUCUGACAAUGGCCCUUUAUCCCCAGAGCCAUCAGGGGCUAACUGCAGGAAACCUGAAGGAAGGGUUAGCGAGGAAAGAGGUAACCAAUGGACCCCUUCUUUCUGAGGCCCAAGAGGAAAACAGCCAUCAUGUAUUACUCUAAUGGGGCCUGUCAACCUGUAAAUAAAUCAUACUAGUGAGAUUUCAGAGGAGGUGACAGGCAGGUACAGAAGGACCGUUUUCACUGAAAGGGCAGCCACCCACUCCAAAGAGGGAUCCAGACAGAUCUCUGCCCAGGAAGUGAAAGCAUCAGAUUCCUGGAUAGAGAAGGUCGAUGAACUGAGGGUGCAGGCUGAGGGGUGCCACGUAGAACCCAGGCUCCAGACGCUGCAGGAAGAACUGGAACGUGGACAGGUCACAGGGAGACUUGUCCUUUCACAAGGCAAGGCCUUGUUGUUUAUGGAAUGAGGCGCAGGAUAAAGGAAAGAACCUGCCCUGUGUCCGCUUUCUCUCCAAGUUCAUUUACACCCCCACCCCAGCAACAGAGAGAUAAAAUAACAAUCCAGAUAGUAACUGAUGAAAGUCUA